UUAAUUGAAACCAAAAAGAGGUAUAUCACUGUUAAUGAUCAAAUUGAGAAAUUUCUCCAAUUAAG
rnacentral:tRNA from 1 species